rnacentral:rRNA from 1 species
GUGGGGAAUAUUGGACAAUUGGCGCAAGCCUGAUCCAGCCAUGCCGCGUGAGUGAUGAAGGCCUUAGGGUUGUAAAGCUCUUUCAGUAGGGAAGAUAAUGACGGUACCUACAGAAGAAGCCCCGGCUAACUUCGUGCCAGCAGCCGCGGUAAUACGAAGGGGGCUAGCGUUGUUCGGAUUUACUGGGCGUAAAGCGCACGUAGGCGGUUUGUUAAGUCAGGGGUGAAAUCCCGGAGCUCAACUCCGGAACUGCCUUUGAUACUGGCAAGCUAGAGUCCGGAAGAGGUAAGUGGAACUCCUAGUGUAGAGGUGGAAUUCGUAGAUAUUAGGAAGAACACCAGUGGCGAAGGCGGCUUACUGGUCCGGAACUGACGCUGAGGUGCGAAAGCGUGGGGAGCAAACAGGAUUAGAAACCCUGGUAGUCC